rnacentral:rRNA from 1 species
CAUGUGUGUUAGUGGAAGCGUCUGGAAAGGCGCGCGAUACAGGGUGACAGCCCCGUACACAAAAGCGCAUGUGCUGUGAGCUCGAUGAGUAGGGCGGGACACGUGGUAUCCUGUCUGAAUAUGGGGGGACCAUCCUCCAAGGCUAAAUACUCCUGACUGACCGAUAGUGAACCAGUACCGUGAGGGAAAGGCGAAAAGAACCCCGGCGAGGGGAGUGAAAAAGAACCUGAAACCGUGUACGU